UGGGUAACCUGCCUUAUAGUGGGGGAUAGCCUUUCGAAAGGAAGAUUAAUACCGCAUAAGAUUGUAGUAUCGCAUGAUAUAGCAAUUAAAGGAGCAAUCCGCUAUAAGAUGGACCCGCGUCGCAUUAGCUAGUUGGUGAGGUAAUGGCUCACCAAGGCGACGAUGCGUAGCCGACCUGAGAGGGUGAUCGGCCACAUUGGGACUGAGACACGGCCCAGACUCCUACGGGAGGCAGCAUG
rnacentral:rRNA from 1 species